rnacentral:rRNA from 1 species
UGGCGAACGGGUGAGUAACACGUGAGCAACCUGCCCCUGACUCUGGGAUAAGCGCUGGAAACGGCGUCUAAUACUGGAUAUGUGACGUGAUCGCAUGGUCUGCGUCUGGAAAGAAUUUCGGUUGGGGAUGGGCUCGCGGCCUAUCAGCUUGUUGGUGAGGUAAUGGCUCACCAAGGCGUCGACGGGUAGCCGGCCUGAGAGGGUGACCGGCCACACUGGGACUGAGACACGGCCCAGACUCCUACGGGAGGCAGCAGUGGGGAAUAUUGCACAAUGGGCGCAAGCCUGAUGCAGCAACGCCGCGUGAGGGAUGACGGCCUUCGGGUUGUAAACCUCUUUUAGCAGGGAAGAAGCGAAAGUGACGGUACCUGCAGAAAAAGCGCCGGCUAACUACGUGCCAGCAGCCGCGGUAAUACGUAGGGCGCAAGCGUUAUCCGGAAUUAUUGGGCGUAAAGAGCUCGUAGGCGGUUUGUCGCGUCUGCUGUGAAAUCCGGAGGCUCAACCUCCGGCCUGCAGUGGGUACGGGCAGACUAGAGUGCGGUAGGGGAGAUUGGAAUUCCUGGUGUAGCGGUGGAAUGCGCAGAUAUCAGGAGGAACACCGAUGGCGAAGGCAGAUCUCUGGGCCGUAACUGACGCUGAGGAGCGAAAGGGUGGGGAGCAAACAGGCUUAGAUACCCUGGUAGUCCACCCCGUAAACGUUGGGAACUAGUUGUGGGGUCCAUUCCACGGAUUCCGUGACGCAGCUA